rnacentral:rRNA from 1 species
UACGGGGGGAGCAAGCGUUGUUCGGAUUUACUGGGCGUAAAGGGCGCGUAGGCGGUCAGCACAAGUCAGUUGUGAAAUCUCCGGGCUUAACUCGGAAAGGUCAACUGAUACUGUGCGACUAGAGUGCAGAAGGGGCAACUGGAAUUCUCGGUGUAGCGGUGAAAUGCGUAGAUAUCGAGAGGAACACCUGCGGCGAAGGCGGGUUGCUGGGCCGACACUGACGCUGAUGCGCGAAAGCCAGGGGAGCGAACGGGAUUAGAGU